rnacentral:tRNA from 1 species
GUCUGAGUGGCUCAGUCGGUAAAGCAUCAGACUUCAGCUCAGGUCAUAAUCUCGCAGUCUGUGGGUUCGAGCCCCACAUCGGGCU